rnacentral:tRNA from 1 species
GGAGAAAUGGCUGAGUGGUCGAAAGCGAUAAAUUGCUAAUUUAUUAUAUGAAAUUUUUUUCAUAUCAAGGGUUCAAAUCCCUUUUUCUCCU